rnacentral:lncRNA from 1 species
UUUAUUUCAUAUUAUCUCAAAUGCUUUUUUCUCACGCCUACCUUCAGCCUUCACAUCUUUUUUCCCACAAAUUUUACACAGCCAAGCUCGCCGUUACAUCUUUUUACCGUUCAGAAUUCUCCUUUCUCCCUUUCAGUUUUCCAUUCUCAUUCGCUAAUCAGUCUUUAUCGUUAAUCAAUUUCGUCAAUAAUCAGCGCCCAAUCAGCUCCAAUUAGAAGCCUAUAGUCAGUCCACACUUCCAUUCUCAUCACUGUUAAUGAUAUUAACCUGCGUGACUAUCAGUCUAUCAAUUAUCCCUGACAGAGCUAGGGUAGAAAAUUCGGGUGCGCGGCGAUAUUGACCGGCGUUGCUAUUACUCAGCCGUUUCCUCCGACUCCCCACCCCUCCGCUCCCUCGCAGACGCCCUCAGUACAUUCCAGCAGGUAUGCAUCUUAUUUUUUUAAUAAUCGUAUUUUUUUUAUCUUACUUAAUCGAUCUGUUUUGUCUAAUUUAGAAUAAUUAAUUUACGCACCAACAAUUGUUUACUAUGAAUAAAAUUAAGAAUUAUGUUUAUUAUAGUUGCAAUGCAAAUAGUUAAAGAAUAUAAUUUUUUUACAGCAAUUGCGUUGAUUGAUGGUGAGUUGUGUCUAUAUGUUGCCCUCCAUGUGUUGGACGAAUUGUCUUAGAGACAAUUUUAUCAUCCUCAAGCUAUUUCUUUGAGCUUCUCUUUUGUCUUGCUCAAGUCUUAUUUCUUGCAGAGAACAAAUGCAGAUUAUGUGGAGGAAACCACUUUACAAAUUGUAAGUAUCUUUUAGGAAUAUCGAAGCUGUGAAGUUUCUAUUAUCUCAUGGUGCAAAUCAAGACUAUCUUAAAUCAUUAAAAAUUUUGGAUGUGGAAAAGAGUUUGAUUAGUUUUGCAUGUCAAUUUUGCUACUGUAUCCAAUCAUAUUGAUAUAAUCUUGUGAGACUAAUGUACUGUUGAAUGCUCAUAUUUUUUUUUUGAUUUAUUUUUUUGCUGCUCUCUACUUUGCAGCUAAAUGUAAGUUUUUUAGUUAUGGAGUCCCCUCUUAUAUGUGCAAUCAAGGCUCGCUAAUUUGUAUGCAUGGAUGUGCUACUUAAGGUAUGUUGUGUGAUGUAUUAUUUGAAUUUGUAUGUCUAUUUUUUAGAUUGGGGGUUAUUAUGGACACCUUGAAUGGACAUCUUCUUUAUAUAGGAUACCAACUUAGCCUACGUAGCAGCCCUCAAAUCCCAGCGUUCUCAAAAUCCUCGAUUCUCCUUCAUCCUCAAAAUUCCUUAAUAUCUUCUUCAACAUUUCCAUUCUAAUCCCCUCACUCAAAUCUCAGUUGUGUUUCACCACAGUCAAUGGAAAGCGUUUCACCAUAAUCAAUGGAAUUCAAUAAUCAGGUCCUUACCAUCUCCAAAUCAAUGUUUAUAUUAUGAAGGUGGCUGGCUUCUCACAAGAUCUCUGUCAUUUGCCUCUCGAUUCUCCAUUCUCCUUAAUCGUUUCCAUGAACUCUACCUCAAUCACCUCUUGAUUCUCAUUGAUUAAUGCCCCCAAUGAAGGUAAAAAGUCUAACACAA